rnacentral:rRNA from 1 species
AACGAACGCUGGCGGUAGGCCUAACACAUGCAAGUCGAACGGCAGCACAGAGGAGCUUGCUCCUUGGGUGGCGAGUGGCGGACGGGUGAGGAAUACAUCGGAAUCUACUCUGUCGUGGGGGAUAACGUAGGGAAACUUACGCUAAUACCGCAUACGACCUACGGGUGAAAGCAGGGGAUCUUCGGACCUUGCGCGAUUGAAUGAGCCGAUGUCGGAUUAGCUAGUUGGCGGGGUAAAGGCUCACCAAGGCGACGAUCCGUAGCUGGGCUGAGAGGAUGAUCAGCCACACUGGAACUGAGACACGGUCCAGACUCCUACGGGAGGCAGCAGUGGGGAAUAUUGGACAAUGGGCGCAAGCCUGAUCCAGCCAUACCGCGUGGGUGAAGAAGGCCUUCGGGUUGUAAAGCCCUUUUGUUGGGAAAGAAAUCCAUCUGGUUAAUACCCGGGUGGGAUGACGGUACCCAAAGAAUAAGCACCGGCUAACUUCGUGCCAGCCGCCGCGGUAA